rnacentral:rRNA from 1 species
UUUGAUCCUGGCUCAGGACGAACGCUGGCGGCGUGCUUUACACAUGCAAGUCGAACGAUGAUGGGGUGCUUGCAUCCCUGAUUAGUGGCGAACGGGUGAG